rnacentral:lncRNA from 1 species
ACAGAUUCAGCAGCCUCGCCUCCUGGGUUCAAGAGAUCCUCCCACCUCAACCUCCCAAGUAGCUGGGAUUACAGGGGUGUGCCACCACGCCCAGCUAAUUAUUGUAUUUUUAGUAGAGAUGAGCGUUUCACCAUGUUGGCCAGGCUGGUCUUGAACUCCUGAGCUCAAGUGAUCCACCCACCUUGGCCUCCCAAGGUGCUGGGAUUACAGAUGUGAGCCAGCAUGCCCGGCUGCUUAACCUGUUUCUAGGGUGCCACAGACAGAGCUCAACUGGACUAAAGCUGGGCCUGAAACCCAGGCCUUGGGCAAUAUUUCAGCCUUUCUGAGCACUAGUUUCCUUAACCAGGGAGGGAGCUCGUACAGCUCCUUCUGAGGUCAGGACAGGAGGCACUCACUCUGCCUGAACACUCGGCAGCCCCUCGUGGUCCCCAUCCCAGCAGCCCAGGGUAGGGUGUGGCCUUACUGUCCCCUUCCAUGUUCUGCACCACAGUCAGGCUGAGGCUAGCGGUAUCCAGCUCGGUGGCAUCGGCCUUGAAGCUGAAGGUCUCAUUGUACACAGGGUUGAUGGAGCCCAGCACAGCUGAAGUCUUCUUGCACUUGACAAACUUGUUGUGGUUCAUCAGAGACACUUUGACAAACACACCUAGGGAACGAGGGAUUGGAUCAAGCUGGGGCGAGAUAGAGUGGGGAAGUGAUGAGCUAAGAAAAAUUAGCCUGCAAGCAUGACGUGUCGCACGUCAGCAAGGCUGCAGCCUUGGAUUCUGAUGUCUUGAGAAGAGCGAUUCACCUGUGAAUUCUCACAGCCCUGGCCUCAGAAAGACGGCCCGGGACCAGGCCCGAUGGCACCCCUCUUCCCAGCUCUCAGCCAGGGCGGAAGGCACAAGUGAUGGCCCUGGCCUCCGCAGUCACACUCCUCCUGAAAGCUGACUGGCUGAACCUCACCUCUUGGCUAGCUUGCCACCCAGCUCUUGAGAACAUGUUUGUCCAAGGCCUCUUGGCAGGUCUCGAUGACUCCUUCCCCUAAGGGCCCCCAGUCACCUGCUAAGGCUCCCAGGCCCCUGUGAAACUGGCUCGGUGCCCCAAUAGACUCUCCACCUCCAGACCCUAAGCCGGCCAGCCCAGAGUGCAGCAAGGCACCACACCUACCCUGUGAGGGCACUCGGGCCCCGCGCUGGCCUCUGACAGCACAGGAAGCUUCUGCAUUCACGCUGAGGCCUGUCUUUUGCCUUCCUUAGAUAAACUUGCCAGAAACCCCAUAGUGCUUCAGGCCUUUGGGAUAAUUCCCCUGAGCCCCAUAGGCCAGGGCCUGGCAUUCAGUAGUUGCUCUAAAAUUGUGUUUUCACCCACUCUCUUCCAGGUAGUCAGGACAGGGAAGCCCAGGCUUCUGGUCACCACUCACCAAAUCUCUCCCCUGCCCCUCUAUCAGGGAUCAGCUCCUAUAGGCCUUAACCUAGCAGACUAGGUAAAGCAGAGCUGGUGGCAUCAAGGGUCCCGGGGGCUGCAGAGCCCUGGCUGGUACAGGAGGCUGGGCUCUCCUGUAGGUCUGCACCUUCCCAGCAACGCGGAGGGCACCAGACCCUGCCUGCUCCAGAGGCUGUACCUGAAAGAUGAAGUGCUCGUCAAACUGCGGGUUGGAGGUUUUGCGUUUGGUCUUGGAUUGGAGGAAGCGCCGCUCAUCGGGCAGCAGGUAGAGCUUCACCAGGGGGCUGCAGGUCUCCGAGGGGGCUUGCAGGUGCUGUGCCUUGAUCAAGCCCACCAGCAGCCGCUCAGCCUCCUGCUCAUAUUCCACCGAGAACCACAGCCGCCCCAGGCAGCCGUCGGGGAAGUCGGUCUCACUUUUGUCCUCCGGGAACUUGUACAGCUCUGGGUUGAUGGCCCCCACCAUACAUGCAUCUCCUAUGACAGAGGGUGGGAGGGCUGGCAGGCCAGAGGAAGGCAGGGGCAUGGGAGACAGUGGCAAGCUCUGGGCACCCAUCCCCAUCCUGGCCCAUCCGUCUCUGCUGAGCCUCAGCUAGCCUGACCACAUCUGCCCCACUCUCCUCACCAGGCUAAACACAUCCCCUCUCUCUGGUGCAGCUCCUCCAAGAAGCCUUCUCACCAUGAAGGCAUUGCAUGGCCAGGCUGGGGAUCCAGCAGAGUCCUGCCCCCUGGGAUUGGCCCCCAUCCUUGGAGGUCAGGACCUGUUUCAAGGACACAGUGCCCAUCACCUGGCCUAGCCCCCUUCCAUGGCGUCUAGGGAAUGACUCAGCGAUAAAACAUUGCCUUUCUUCUUCCUCUUCAAAUUAGAAGGGCCAAGGUGAUUAUUGGGUGGUUCCUGUGAUGGUCUCUUGGUAGAUCUUCAGGGCAAAGAGGUGGCAGAAAGCUGUGUUUGCAGCCCCUACCAUUCUGUCCUCUUGGUCAACCAACCCAUCAUCCUAGAGUGGGACCCAGCACAAGUUCUGUACAUGGCGUGCCUGGGUUCCAAUUCCAAUCUGUUGCUUACAGCCUCAGUUAAGACUAUGUAAAAUGGGGUGAUAAUUCCUCCCCCUCAGAGUCAUGGUGAGGUCUCACUCCAAAUCAGCACCCAAGGCCAUAUCUUACCCUCAUG